CAUGUGAACCUUUUGCUUUCAGGAUCUCAGAAAAAGAGUUGUUGGUGGUCUUCAGGCUGGAAAAAGAAACUAAAGACCACUGCUGCCAUCUGUUGGUUGACCAACAAAGAUCACUCCGAGAGCAAAGUUGAUAAAUGACUCCUUGUUGCCUCUGAUGGUGCUGGUGUAGCACUUGUAUCUUCCCUGGUCCUGAACCUGGACCCCAGUCAGCUGGAGCGAGGCGUUUCCUCUGGAGAUCUGGUCCUUGAACAGUGAUGUCCUGCCUCUGAAGCUCUGUCCCUGGUGUCCCAGCUGGUCUCGGUUGUGGUAGUAGGAGUGGACAGGAAUGUCUCCAGCUGUCACCAGAGUCCAGUGGAUGACUGCAUCAGUGCCGCCCUGGAAGCUGCACGUACAAAGGUUCUGGACGCUCUGACCUUAUCGGUGUGUCUGUAUCUCUGAGGUAAACGCUUCACUCACCUCCUCCUGCAGGAGAUAACAUCCAGAGAAAACUCCAGACCACCAGACACGCGGCAGAGUCGACUUCCAUCGUCAUCGUCAGGAUCUAUCUGGGUUUAAUUUUGAAACAGGAACUUGUUACAUGAUGGGUUUCUGUUCUCGAUUUUGGGGAAAUGAGUAGUCACCGCUCAUAAAAAAACAUUUGAAAUCUACACCAGCUGAAAAUACUGAAACAAAUUAUUAGACACGAUGAGGUGAAAGACGACAAAACAUUAAUAAAAGAUGAAAAUAAAAAAAUACCAUAAUGUAUAUAUUUUUAAAUUAAUUGUAGUAUAAAGACAAUUGGAUCUCCUCUGACGGUAUUUCACUCACUCAGUUUAAUAUUUUAUUAAUUCACUUACUACAUUAUUUUCAUCUUUUUUACAUUUGUUUGUCUUAUUUUUGAACGUAUUACACUUAGAGAGGAAAUUGUUUACAGUAACAUGUUGGAACAUUCAAGGUCUGAGAUCAGCUUUUGGUUUAAAAAGCAGAAAUUCAAAUUUUAAUAGAGAGUUAAAAGACUGACAUCAUAGUUUAACAGGAGACAUGGUGCAGAAAAAACGUUUACACUGGUCGUCCUCACGGCUACACUGAGAUUAUUAAUCCAUCAAAAAAUCCCACAAUAACCCAAAGCAGAGAUUCAGGAGGCCUGAUUAUAUGUCAUAAAUCAAUACUCAACCAGUCCAUUACAGUAAUACAUUUUUUUUUUCUGUUCUUGAGAGGGAAAUUAACCAUUAAUAAACCAUGGGAAAUGUUUUGAUCUGUGGGGACUUCAACGCUCGAACAGGUGAAAGAGCUGACAGUAUAGACACCCAGAGAGACAAACACUUAGGUACCA